rnacentral:rRNA from 1 species
UGCUAGGAUGGAUUAGUGGCGCACGGGUGAGUAAUAUAUAGUUAAUCUGCCCUACACAGAGGAACAACAGUUGGAAACGGCUGCUAAUACCUCAUACUCCUAUUUGACAUAAGUUAAAUAGGGAAAGUCUUUUCGGUGUAGGAUGAGACUAUAUCGUAUCAGCUAGUUGGUAAGGUAAUGGCUUACCAAGGCUAUGACGCGUAACUGGUCUGAGUGGAUGAUCAGUCACAUUGGAACUGAGACACGGUCCAAACUCCUACGGGAGGCAGCAGUAAGGAAUAUUGCGCAAUGGGGGAAACCCUGACGCAGCAACACCGCGUGGAGGAUGACACUUUUCGGAGCGUAAACUCCUUUUAUCAGGAAAGAAUAAUGACGGUACCUGAUGAAUAAGCACCGGCUAACUCCGUGCCAGCAGCCGCGGUAAUACGGGGGGUGCAAGCGUUACUCGGAAUCACUGGGCGUAAAGGACGCGUAGGCGGAUUAUCAAGUCUUUUGUGAAAUCUAGUGGCUUAACCACUAAACUGCUUAGGAAACUGAUAGUCUAGAGUAGGGGAGAGGUAGAUGGAAUUCUUGGUGUAGGGGUAAAAUCCGUAG